GCAGCUUCAGAGGCUCUUUUAACAACAUAAGCAAAACUGGGAGCCAACCUCAUUUUUUCCCCCUGGCUGUAAUGAACACACAGCUUAGCUACAGCAGUCUCCCACCCCCAGUAAAAUGAACUGGAAUUACAAAGCUUAUGAAGAAAACAAGUGUCAUUUUUUUCCCUCUAUCUUUUUCCUUUCUUUUUAAUUGUUUUUUUUUUCUUUCUUUCCUAUUUCUUUCUCUUUUUUUGGAUCGAAAGUAAGACCAAAAAAUGUCAAAAGGGAAAGGAGAGGGGUUCUGAGAUCAGUCUCAAAUCUCAGAAGAAGACUGCGGGAAAUGGUGCCAAAUUGAAGUGUUUAUCCAUGGCAGCCUCAAGCGGAGGCGGCGCCGGCUUCUUUGUACCACUCGACAUGCUCUGAUCUCAACCUGGUGGCCAGCGGCUGUCAGCACGGAGGCCUGGGCAUGGUGCUGCUUCCCUGGGUGAUGUCCACCAGGACCUCCAACAUCACCCGCUCAUUAGGAUGUCUCUGAACAGCUGUCAUGUGGUGCUGACUUUUUGUCACAGCUGAUAGUGGUGAGAUUAAAGCAGGUAGCCAGAGGCUGAAAGACUCUCUGUUUUGUUACAAAGCUCUGAGUCAUCUAGUCUCCUGUUAUAAAUAUCAGUCCUCAGAUUUGGAUUCACACUGAGUCACUUGCAGUCUUGGAUAGGACCCAUUGCACUAAUGGGCAAUUUUGUGUUGCAAGACUAUUAGUAUACAAGAUUGCCACCAUUGUCAAGAUAUCAAAAUGUGAUCUUGUGUGUUUAAUAGUUCAUAAUUAACAAGCUGUAUUGCUCUACUGAACAUCUUCCACUUAUUCAGUCAGAUUUUGAAAUGAGUAGUCAAUUCCCAAAGUUUUUCCUGUUUCAAACUCAGUGUUGGUUCCGGAAGGCAUACUGGGAAGAAGGAGGAUUGUGUAGGGCAAGAUUCAGGUGUCACACUUUGUUACAUGAAGUCAAGUGCUGCCUACACUAAAUGACCAUAUUUGCUUUCACAGAGAGAAACAAAACUAUGAAGGUAACCUGAAUAGGCUUAAGAGAAAGGAGUCCCUACUGCUUACUUCUAUCACUGCAGGGAGCCCAGGUGUCCCAGGGGACUUUAGGAUCAUUGCUAGCCAGUGAAAUGAGAAAAAUAAGGUGAAAUGAAGACUUUUCUAAUUACAGACACUGCUUGCAAAGCUCAUUGCUCUGUAGUUCAUAAGUGCACUUUAGGAGCAAUCUCAGAGAAGGACUUUGGCUUUGAAAGUAGUCUCAGAUUGUCAUCCAAACCACACCUACUCUCUUCUUGAUCCAAGGGAAGCAUAAACCCCCUGGAUAUGUAAGCUUUUACCCUGAAAACAUACCCUAGGGAAUCCUCAAUUUGAAAGUGAGUGGCUAACUAAUUAAUCCCAGCAAGAUCCAGGAAUUAGGCAAAGUUAAGCCUCUGAAUCUGUUAAGUACAAGUUGAACAAUCUUCAGUGUCUUCAGGAUCAACACAUGGCCUUGCUUCUGUCUGUUUUGAAAAGGAAAACAACUCUAGAUAUAACCAAAUGGUGAGAUUUCCCAAGUUCCAGGCUAUCAGCAUUGAAAAGAGUAUGAAAUAAGAUACCUCAAUUACUCUAAGCUUUUCUUUAUGGUCUCCAAUUCUAGAUUUUGAGUCUACCUGGAGAAAUACUUUGAGAAUUGUCGUUCUGCAGCUGGAGCAACUUAACUCUGUUUUGAAUUUUAGGUGCUAAGGAUCUUCAGAGUUAGAUCCACUGAGAUAUUUAGACCCACAGAUAUUUUGGCACCCAACUUCUGUUUGUCCCACCACCUGCAUCAACAGAGUUUAAAGUCAACUUGGGUGUAAAGAGCAUCAGAAAAUGAAAGUACCAAACAAUCUCUGCCUUUAGAGAGAGAGAAGGCAGUUGUUAUCUAAAAAUUUCCUCCACAUUAGGUUCUUAUUAUCUUUCCUUUUGCACCAUCAACUGUUCCAUGCAAUUGUGCUUGGAAUCAUUCAACUGAAAAGAAAGGCUCCCCUGUCCAUCUUCCUGGCAAACGUGUUCAAAGGUACCUCCUUUUUUCAUUCCCUUUCUCAGAUCUGGCUGGUGAAGCUUAUCAAACAGAGCGUUAACAGCAUAGCCUCUCUAAGUCUCCAAAGUCUGACCCCAAAUACAGAGAUCACUGAAUCUGUUGCGGGUUAGCAUAUGGCACUUGUUUGAGAACAUUGUUAGUGAAAGACUGAAUCCGGCAGCCUGACAGAUCCAAGUCUGCUGUAGCUAGCUCUAUGCCCUAUAAUCAACCACUACUGAUGCUGGGCAUAUACUGCCUAUAGAUACACACACACAGGCACUCAUAUGCAGCAUAUAUGCAUUUAUAAAUGCACAUACACAUCCACAUUGGUCACAGGUAGACACACAGAGCACUCAUACAAACAGCCUGUAGAAACCACUUCAUCCUGUCCUCUACCUGGCUGAUAAGAGUGAAAGUCUGUCAAUGCAAAAUAUAUAUAUAUAUAUAUGUGUGUGUAUAUAUAUAUAUAAUACGUACAUAUAUAUAUAUACAUAUGUAUAAUAAGUAUGCAUGCAUACAAGGGCUGCUCCAUAAGUAAUAGCUCUUAUUUCAUUAUGUUGGCCCACGAUGUCAGAGGUGGAUGUUGGUGGUAUCACACUGGGGGCUGAUCCUUCCCAUCAAUAUUCCACUACACUUUGUUGCUGUGUGAAAAGCUGCAUAUUCAUUGAAGUUUUCUGAAGGUUUAUGGAGACCAACCAGUGGAUGUCAGCAUGGUAAGGAGGUUUGCGGUGUGUUUCAGCAGUGGAAACAGUGACAGUGGGUCAGCUCAGGUGCUGCAGAUUUUUGUUAGUGCAGCAUGCAAGCUCUUGUUCAUUGCUUGUGAAAAUGCAGAGCUAAUGGUGGUGUCUAAGUUGAAAAAUAGUGUUUUGUAUCUGAGAAUCUGCUCUAUCAAAUAGCAUGUUUGUGCUCUUUGAACCUGAUGUAGUUUCCAUGGAAAUAAACAGGAGGCAUUAUUUUUGGAGCAACCUAUGUAUUUGCAGGCACACGUGUAUAAAAUAUAGAUCCACUAGUAGCUAGGCUCAAAACUUCAGUGUGCCCAGUGGCUGCUCCUGGGUCCCAGUCUUACUAGUUGCAGGCAAAACCUAAAGGGUUAAGUAAUCUGAAUGAAUGGGGAUUUUGGCUCCUCAGGUUAUUUUGGUUCCCCCCCACUGCUAGGCUCUCUGCUCCUCUGUGUGCAUGGAGAUGAGCCUUUUAUCUCACAAGCUGACAAAUAUCUGCUUUCUGUGAGAUUUUUUGUUGCCUGCCUAGAUCCUGCUCUGUCUCUGAGGCGCAUAAGCUCUGUCAUGCUCAUUACAUGGAGAGCAUCAGGAAACUUGUCCCCUCAAGCUACUGAUGACACAUUCACUUUGCACCUUCACAGAGAGAGAAAGGGGAGAUCUGCCUUUUGAAGCAGAAAAAGCAACUGCUGCAAACCUGCAGUGUGUUUAAUGGAAGAGGACGUCUGGUUUCCAUGUAACGCUAAUAAAGUAUUCAGUACACUGGCAGGAGGAGCCUGGAAUGGAUGUGGGUGGUGAGGGUUGUGGGAAGCAGAGAGGAGACAGAGGGGUGUUAGAGGAUGGCCAGCUUGUGAUAGCAGGGAAAUCA